UCUCUCUCCAGCAUCUCACCGCUGCUCGUUGGUGCAGGCGCCCAGGCUCAGCUAAAGUUCCACUCUGUUUGCUCCUGGGAGUGUCGUCACCGGGAAGUCUCAGGACUGGAGAACGAUGGCUGUAGCUGCAUCCCUGAGCUGGUUUCAUCCUCCACAACGUGGUGCCCCUAAGGAACUAGAGGUGGAAAGACUUGAGUGUUUGUAUACAGCAAGAUAACUUCAACAUAUACUCAGCACUCCCUAAACAAAUAAGAUGCUUCCGACCUUGUCAGAAACAAUAAAGAGUGAGAAAUAUCUUCAAG